rnacentral:rRNA from 1 species
UCAUUGGAGAGUUUGAUCCUGGCUCAGGACGAACGCUGGCGGCGUGCUUAACACAUGCAAGUCAAGGGGGCUCCGCAAGGAGCAACCGGCGAACGGGUGCGUAACACGUGAGCGACCGACCCUUACGGAUGGGGGAUAGCCAGCCCAACGGCUGGGUAAUACCGCAUACGCUUCUUCUGGGGCAUCCCGGGGGAAGGAAAGCGCUCGAGGCAACUCGAGGGCGUCCGAGGACGGGCUCGCGGCCUAUCAGCUAGUUGGUGGGGUGAUGGCUCACCAAGGCGACGACGGGUAGCUGGUCUGAGAGGAUGGCCAGCCACAUUGGGACUGAGAAACGGCCCAGACUCCUACGGGAGGCAGCAGUGGGGAAUCUUGCGCAAUGGCCGAAAGGCUGACGCAGCGACGCCGCGUGUGGGAGGACGCCCUUCGGGGUGUAAACCACUGUUGCCCGGGACGAAACCGGCUUCGAGCCGAUUGACGGUACCGGGUGAGGAAGCACCGGCUAACUCCGUGCCAGCAGCCGCGGUAAUACGGAGGGUGCGAGCGUUGUCCGGAAUCACUGGGCGUAAAGGGCGCGUAGGCGG